rnacentral:snoRNA from 1 species
AAGACCUUACUCUUAGGGAUCAUUUCUAUAGUAAGUGUCGCCAUAUUUCAAAAAUUAUAGAAAAUAACACUGAAU